rnacentral:rRNA from 1 species
CCCUUAGAUGUCCUGGGCCGCACGCGCGCUACACUGACAUGUUCAACAAGCCUCCUAGUUCGACAGGAUUUGGGAAAUCUUUGAACGCAUGUCGUGAUAGGGAUAGAUCAUUGCAAUUAUUAAUCUCCAACGAGGAAUUCCUAGUAAACGCAAGUCAUCAGCUUGCAUUGAAUACGUCCCUGCCCUUUGUACACACCGCCCGUCGCACCUACCGAUUGAAUGGUCCGGUGAAAUCUUCGGACUCUGUGUUUAUUGAUUAGUUUCAAUUUACUACUGGAGAAAGUUGAGUAAACCUUACCAUUUAGAGGAAGGUGAAGUCGUAACA